UUAUUGUUUCAUUUAUUAUUGUUUAUAUUUUGAUGUAAUUGAUACGUUAUUGCCCUUGUAUGUUCUUGUUCUAAAACUGCAAUAAAAAAAAAAUAAAAAAAAAGAUCAAUGCACACUCUAAGUGCUAAUAUUGCCCACAACCCAUUGCGUACGGGAGGGAGGAGCUUUGCGAUGGCUUGACAUACAGGCGUGCGUACAUCUCGUAAGGAGUUAUAACGUGAAAUAAUGACACAGACUGGAUACACCAUCUCAUCUGCAGUAGAGACUGUUGUAUCAGAAGGACAGCGCGUUUAUUUGAGGCACUUUUCACUUCAACUGUGCCUGACAGGGGAAUUGGCUUUUCUGAGCCUUCUAACCGUUGAGUUACCAUGGCAACCGCGUAACUGUUACACAUCAGCUGCUGGAGAGGAGAGGACUCGUCUGACAUUUUCUCUGUUUCUCGUCAGUUAUACCAAAGAAAAGGCCAACAAUUGCGAAAGAUUGUUUGUUUAUAUCUAA
rnacentral:lncRNA from 1 species